ensembl:lncRNA
GAUGAGAACUUCAACCAAUAUGUUGAAUCUUUGGACAUUUGAGCGUUUUUUUUUUAUUCUUUUUUUUUACUUUGUUUUAGUUCUUAUUUUUAUUUUCUUAAGAUCCAAGUUAAUGGAUUUUGUUGAUGUCUUUGUCUAUUGUGACUUGUAGUUUGUGAAAAAUCAAUAAAAAUAAAAAAAAAAUCUGAUGUACAAUAUUCAAAGCAUGUGUAAAUAUAUAGAUUAACUUGUUUACUAAUGUGGUUAACUACAUUAAGUGUUAAUUGUAAUGUUUUACUAUAAUAAUAAAAGUUAUGUUUAUUUGUUUAUUCAGAUGAGGAAACCGAUUGAAGAAAAUGUUGUAAAUGGUUUACAUUCCUUUGGUCUAUUCUUCUCAGAUUGUGAAUGGAACAAACUUUGUGGUCAAGGUGUUUCUUGGUGGAAGGGAUGAUGGAGUGUGUAUUCAUGCGAAGAUACAUCAGGCUCUUGCCUGUAAUGGAGGAAAACUGACACUGUCUAGAUUCCAGUUUCCUAAAACCUUCAAUGAACCUCUGAAACCCUUCUGAACACAUCUAACCAAAUUCAGAAACAGUCUUAUCAAAUAACAGACACAUGAAUGAGCUGAUGUAGAGGAACUGCUGAAAUCAUUUCAUUCUUCAAUAUUAAACUCUGUAUUCAAACACUCAAGUGUCAGUGUGUACACUGAAAUAAAUUAACAUAAAUAUUCCUCGUUAUCA